AUGCUGUAAAAAUUAUGGAGAAAUAGUGGCUUGAAGAGCAAGAUGAGGAGACACAGCAACCUCCGGUUCCUUCUAGGCGAUUCAACUUCAGGUGAAGGAAUGGUAAUGGAAGCUUGCAGUUUGAGAAUAGUUAAAGGCUCCUUGCAUCAUUGAGAGGUCUUUUGGACAUUGAGAACUGGGAAGCAACAUGUGGACUGCAGUUUAAGAAUUAGCAAGGAUUAGAAGUUCUUGGUGCGUAUUUACUCUAGCAGUAAAACUUUAUUUGAAAUAAACUUAGCAAUGAAGUGACAUAGGCAAUAAACUGUAAUAGAUUGUUGUAGAUAAAAAUUGAAACGUGAGUGAGAAGGAUAAUUCUGAAUAUAAAGAUCACAGUUUGAGUAAAAUAGCAAGGUAAUAUGAUUCUGAUUGUCCU